CUCAAAUUCGGUCCAUUUGCAUUUGACACGUGCCUCGUUUUAACCGUACGCACUGGGCUAUGUAAUGAGAGGCGGCUGUAUGAACGGCUGAUUGUCUCCCAGAGUUGAUGUAUUCCGCUGGGAGGGCAGGAGUUGAAGAUCCCAUUGCUGUUACACCUGAGGCAGCUGGUUAAACCCCUUCAGCUGUGGAAGUUACGACGCCGCCUCCUCUGACAGGAGCAAACUCCUGAUUGAGCUGCGCUUUUGUGCGCCGUCAUUAUCGUUAAGUAAGCUGCUGUCUCCCUGCCUAAUGAAGACUGAGAUCAUUCAAGCAGGACAUUAUGAAUAAGACAGGUCUGCUGAUAUAAAGAAAUAUACAGCGCAGAUACAGUCCUGAGACCCUGGCCCUGUUUUGUUUACACCUGUUCCUGGUUUUUAACACAGCAUGACAGGCAUCCCGCCAGGAAAUUAGCUAAAGAUAAACGCCUCAACAAGCAGAUGCCUGCUGGGGGAAAAAGUGUGGAAGGUGGAAAACAAUAUAAGAUUCUCAAAUAAUUGAAAUUAUCAUGAGAUUUACAUCCCCAAAAAG
rnacentral:lncRNA from 1 species